UGUUGACGAGGCCAGUGGCAAUAUGG
rnacentral:piRNA from 1 species